rnacentral:lncRNA from 1 species
UACUAUUCCUCCCAAGAACUUGCAUCAAAUAUUGUGUCCACCAAGUGCUACAACCAAGUCAAUCUUUACUCUUAAAGUCGAGAAAAAGAUGUACCUAGUCGUUCCUCACUCCACCAAGUUCCACAAGGAGGACUUGGAACCAAAAUUCCAUCCCUAAAACCGAAUCCUCUACUCCAAAAUCCUCUAAUUCAAAGACUACACUCUACUAAAUCCAAUGUCUCCUUUCCAAACUACACUAACCCGG